AUGCAAGUCGAGCGGGCGUAGCAAUACGUCAGCGGCAGACGGGUGAGUAACGCGUGGGAACGUACCUUUUGGUUCGGAACAACCCAGGGAAACUUGGGCUAAUACCGGAUAAGCCCUAACGGGGAAAGAUUUAUCGCCGAAAGAUCGGCCCGCGUCUGAUUAGCUAGUUGGUGAGGUAACGGCUCACCAAGGCGACGAUCAGUAGCUGGUCUGAGAGGAUGAUCAGCCACAUUGGGACUGAGACACGGCCCAAACUCCUACGGGAGGCAGCAGUGGGGAAUAUUGGACAAUGGGCGCAAGCCUGAUCCAGCCAUGCCGCGUGAGUGAUGAAGGCCCUAGGGUUGUAAAGCUCUUUUGUGCGGGAAGAUAAUGACGGUACCGCAAGAAUAAGCCCCGGCUAACUUCGUGCCAGCAGCCGCGGUAAUACGAAGGGGGCUAGCGUUGCUCGGAAUCACUGGGCGUAAAGGGUGCGUANGCGGGUCUUUAAGUCAGGGGUGAAAUCCUGGAGCUCAACUC
rnacentral:rRNA from 1 species